GACAUUCGUUGUUGGAUCAGCGGUAUGAGUUGACAUGCUGAAGACUACCAAUUGUUGCCUCGGCGGAUCAGCCCGCUCCCGGUAAAACGGGACGGCCCGCCAGAGGACCCCUAAACUCUGUUUCUAUAUGUAACUUCUGAGUAAAACCAUAAAUAAAUCAAAACUUUCAACAACGGAUCUCUUGGUUCUGGCAUCGAUGAAGAACGCAGCAAAAUGCGAUAAGUAAUGUGAAUUGCAGAAUUCAGUGAAUCAUCGAAUCUUUGAACGCACAUUGCGCCCGCCAGUAUUCUGGCGGGCAUGCCUGUUCGAGCGUCAUUUCAACCCUCAAGCCCUCGGGUUUGGUGUUGGGGAUCGGCGAGCCCUUGCGGCAAGCCGGCCCCGAAAUCUAGUGGCGGUCUCGCUGCAGCUUCCAUUGCGUAGUAGUAAAACCCUCGCAACUGGUACGCGGCGCGGCCAAGCCGUUAAACCCCCAACUUCUGAAUGUUGACCUCGGAUCAGGUAGGAAUACCCGCUGAACUUAAGCAUAUCAAUAAGCGGAGGAAUCCCUUUCCGAGGUUUACACUGCAUACCCUGUGAAAACACAAUUGGUUGCACGCGGAUCGCCCCUCAGGGAAAAACGGGAACAGCCCCCGAGGACCCAAAAUUGUUUUCUAUUUGUUUACUUCGUAGUAAAACAUCAGAUAAUCAAAAUAUCAAGUAAGCUUGGUUUUUGCAGCCAGAAGGAAAC
rnacentral:rRNA from 1 species